rnacentral:tRNA from 1 species
GGAACGGUGGCAGAGUGGAGAUACGCUUCCGCCUUGAAAGCGGUGGGCUGUAAAUGGCCCGGGGGUUCGAAUCCCUCCCGUUCGGCCA